AAGUCGUAACAAGGUUUCCGUAGGUGAACCUGCGGAAGGAUCAUUACCGAGUUAGGGUCUUCUGGGCCUGACCUCCAACCCUUUGUUUAUUCUACCCUGUUGCUUUGGCGGGUCCGCCCUUAGGGGCCGCCGGGGGUCUUAUCACCUCUGGUCCGUGCCUGCCAGUAGCCUUUUUAAAUCCUUUAUAAUUGUGAUGUCUGAGUACAAAAACAAAUCGUUAAAAACUUUCAACAACGGAUCUCUUGGUUCUGGCAUCGAUGAAGAACGCAGCGAAAUGCGAUAAGUAAUGCGAAUUGCAGAAUUCAGUGAGUCAUCGAAUCUUUGAACGCAUAUUGCGCCCUUUGGCAUUCCGAAGGGCAUGCCUGUUCGAGCGUCAUUAUCAACCAUCAAGCCCGGCUUGUCGUUGGACCCGUUUGUCGCCACAAGCGAUAGGUCCGAAAGAUAAUGAACGGUGUCAUGGUGGCCCUAAAUGCAACGAGCUUUUAAUAGCACGCAUCUGGUGGUCGGCAGGCCCAGUCUUAACCCAUUAUUUCAAGGUUGACCUCGGAUCAGGUAGGAAUACCCGCUGAACUUAAGCAUAUCAAUAAGCGGAGGAAAAGAAACCAACAGGGAUUACCCUAGUAACGGCGAGUGAAGCGGUAACAGCUCAAAUUUGAAAUCUGGCCUUCACGGGUCCGAGUUGUAAUUUGUAGAGGAUGUUUCGGGCAAGGUUGUGGUUUAAGUUUCUUGGAACAGAACGUCAUAGAGGGUGAGAGUCCCGUCUAGAACCGAUAGCCGCGUCCAUGUGAAACUCCUUCGACGAGUCGAGUUGUUUGGGAAUGCAGCUCAAAAUGGGUGGUAAAUUUCAUCUAAAGCUAAAUAUUGGCCAGAGACCGAUAGCGCACAAGUAGAGUGAUCGAAAGAUGAAAAGCACUUUGAAAAGAGAGUUAAACAGUAUGUGAAAUUGUUGAAAGGGAAGCGCUUGCAACCAGACUUGCGUAUGGCGGUUCCCCUAGUCUUUUGACUGGGCUAUUCCGUUUUAUCCAGGCCAGCAUCGGUUCGGGUGGUUGGUUAAAGGUCUUGGGAAUGUAUCUACCUCCGGGUCGACUUAUAGCCCAGGGCGCAAUGCGAUCUACCUGGACCGAGGAACGCGCUUUUGCUCGGAUGCUGGCGUAAUGGUUGUAAGCGGCC
rnacentral:rRNA from 1 species